UACGAAGGGGGCUAGCGUUGUUCGGAAUUACUGGGCGUAAAGCGCGCGCAGGCGGCUAUCCAAGUCAGUGGUGAAAGCCCGGAGCUCAACUCCGGAACUGCCAUUGGAACUGUUUAGCUUGAGGAUGAGAGAGGUGAGUGGAAUUCCCAGUGUAGAGGUGAAAUUCGUAGAUAUUCGCAAGAACACCAGUGGCGAAGGCGGCUCACUGGCCCGGUACUGACACUGAGAGACGAAAGCUAGGGGAGCGAAUGGG
rnacentral:rRNA from 1 species